rnacentral:rRNA from 1 species
GAUGAACGCUGGCGGCGUGCCUAAUACAUGCAAGUCGAGCGAACAGAUGAGGAGCUUGCUCCUCUGACGUUAGCGGCGGACGGGUGAGUAACACGUGGAUAACCUACCUAUAAGACUGGGAUAACUUCGGGAAACCGGAGCUAAUACCGGAUAAUAUAUUGAACCGCAUGGUUCAAUAGUGAAAGACGGUUUUGCUGUCACUUAUAGAUGGAUCCGCGCCGCAUUAGCUAGUUGGUAAGGUAACGGCUUACCAAGGCAACGAUGCGUAGCCGACCUGAGAGGGUGAUCGGCCACACUGGAACUGAGACACGGUCCAGACUACUACGGGAGGCAGCAGUAGGGAAUCUUACGCAAUGGGCGAAAGCCUGACGGAGCAGCGCCGCGUGAGUGAUGAAGGUCUUCGGAUCGUAAAACUCUGUUAUUGGGGAAGAACAAAUGUGUAAGUAACCAUGCACGUCUUGACGGUACCUAAUCAGAAAGCAACGGCUAACUACGUG